AAUAUUUCGAGGUAACUUAUGGUUUGAUAGUCCAGUAAAAACUACAAACUCGAACGCCGCCAUAAUAAGCUUACACAUUACUACCGCAAGAUGUCGCCUAAGUUAUUGUUUUGAUUCUUCCACUCUUCCACUAACCAAAAUAAAAAUUUUUUAACAAAUAUGCACGUUCAACUUAAUAUAAGUUCUAGCUGUAAUAAAAACCAUUAUUAUCAAUUAAUUAAUAAAGUUGAUGGUGAAAUAUUAUUAAAAUUAGAAUCAUUAAACGCAGUUUUGAAAUAUUAUAUUAAAAUGAAGAACAGAUCAACACGUCAUAAAUGGAAAGAUACAUUUCAGCUUGCAAAAGGGAAGAAAACGACGAGGAAGUGGAAAUGUAUUUUUAUGAAGCGACACAUAAAUGGAAUCUCAUGAAAUUAACAUAUGAUUAUUGCAGUUCUAAAAUAUAAAUGAGAAAAAUUAUUAUACUUUCGUAAUCGCUCGAUAAGGAACAAUUAAUCAUCGAACGUUCCUAAAAUAUAUAUAGUUAAAAAUUAAAGAAGACAACAAAUUAUCCAGGAAAACUCGGAAUUAUCUGCAAAUGAAAAUAAGCUUAUCUCUAAAAACAGUGAAAAAGAAAACGAAGAUGGAAACGUCCACGAUUAUAGAAUCAUCUACUUUUGGAUAAAUUGACAAAGGAGGUAACUUCUGUGACAAAGAAAUAAAUGCGUAAGGAAGAAAAUACGAAAUUCUAUAGUAUGAGACAACAAAACUGCAACAAGAAAAGAUAUAUAAGUUACAGAUAAUGUAUCGUAAUUAGUUCUGCUACAAAUUUGUGGGAGAAGUGAAAUUAGGAAUAGAGGAAGAAACCUAAAAUUAUGCAACAAAGGUAGAAAGUAAACAAGAAGAAAAACGCUUAGUAAACAUCUUCAGUUAUAUGCACUUGCACCUCUGCUGACACGCUUUUCCAAAUUACGAUAAAUUCAUGAUACUGAUGUGAUAUUGCCACAUCUUGAUAUAUCUCAUACUUUUCCUCUGUGUUUCCACCGUGCAAUUGCUUCUUUUAAAGGAACAGUGUUUUAUCCCUGAAGAAGAAGAAGAAGGAAAGGGCAAUCAGUUUUAAUUCAGUAGUCAACAAUCUUAAUUAAAGAAUGUCUGAAAUGAAUCUUUCCAGUCGGUUCAUAACUCUGUAAAUCUAUUAAUAUAUACAUAUUUGUGUCAUAUUUAAUCAAUUUUUACUCUUUAAAUUUUAUUAAUUGUUAACGAUUGACCUACACUAUUUCUUAUAAAUAUGUAGGAAGAGAAAUAAACUAUGAGAAUGUUUGGAUUGUCAGAAAAUAAGCAUAAAUAAUUUUUUAUUACAAACCUACAGGUACUUUCUUUUAUUUUAUAGUAUUUCAUAUUAAUUACAUUCGACUUGUAUUUUUUCUGUGCAUAUAUAUUUCGAUGUAAGUCAUUUCAAAAGUAUCUCAAUGAUUAUUAAUAUAUUACUUUAUUUUCUC